AGGAAAAGUGGAGUAACAUCUUUGGCAAUCCAAUAUCUACUCAGGGUGCGUUAUGCAUUGAAAUGUGUCCUUCAUAAUUCUUAUGUUGAAGCCCUUACACUCAGUACUUCAGAAUGUGUACUUACUUGGAAAUUAUGUUGUUGCCAAUGCAAUUAGUUAAGAUGAGGUCAUAAUGGAGUGGGAUGGGUCUCUAAUCUGAUAUGACUGGUGUCCUUAUAGGUAGGUAAAAUGGGUGCACAGAGACACUCACACAGGGAGAAUGCCAUGUGAAGACUGGAGUUAAAAUGGUCACUAGCCAAGGAACUAUGGGAAGCUUAGAGAGGUCUGGAACUGAUCCUUCCCUAGCACUUUCAAAGAGAUCAUGGCCUGCCAACACCCUGAUGCCAGACUGCUAGCUCCAGAACUCUUGAAGAUAUUAUGCAAAAGAGAAGGAAAGGGAAGAGAAGAACAAAAGGGAUAGGAAAUAAAGAAAAUGGCAACAUUGGUUAAAACUGA